GGAUCGUCUCUGUCUCUGAUCUCUGUCUCUGAUUUAUCUGGUAUCCAAUGUUUGUAAGUCGUCCGAUAUAUCGCGAUAUAUCGCGAUAUAUCGCCUGUAUCGGUAGGCCAAGGGUCGAUACACACCCAGAUGCGACUUAGGCGACUAACAUUCGAGUCGUCCGAUAUAUCGCGCGACUCGACCGAUUAGUCGCCUGAUCGAGUCGAGGACGACUUAAUGGGCUUCACUCCAGAUUGGGCCAGGCGGACAGGUAGGUGUCUAUUGAGCCCAUUAGGGUUUCUUUAUACAUCCCCCACACCCCCUCCCCACGUCCUCCUCCUCCAGAACUGCAGCCGCCGCCGACGCUCCCUCCACCUCCAGAAACUGAAGAACGCCGCCGCCUCUCCUGGACACGCCUCCGGCCUGCCUCAUCCGCCGCCUCUCCUCAUUCAGGAUGAACUCUAGUUCCGAUUAGAUGAUCGAAUUAGCUCUUUUUCUUCACAGCGGCCCAAGUCAGGUCACUAGCCAACACUUUUCCAUUUGGGUAAUUCUUUUGAAUAUGCUAGACGUGGCAUGUCUAGAAAGUGUAAUGUUUCUUUUACUUCCAAAACUUUUGUUAGACAUGCAUAUUUGUAAAUAAUUAUGAGUUAUCCAGGUUGUUUAAUGUAUUUAUAUGCACAAAUUUUUGGGAA